UGCGCAGGCGGCGUGUCGUGUUCGAUGUGAAAGCCCUCGGCUUACCCGGGGAAUUGCAUUGAAAACUGGCAUGCUCGAGUACAGGAGGGGAAACUGGAAUUCCUGGUGUAGCGGUGAAAUGCGUAGAUAUCAGGAGGAACGCCGGUGGCGAAAGCGAGUUUCUGGCCUGUUACUGACGCUGAGGCACGAAAGCCAGGGGAGCGAACG
rnacentral:rRNA from 1 species